rnacentral:rRNA from 1 species
GACGAACGCUGGCGGCGUGCUUAACACAUGCAAGUCGAACGGAGUGGCGAACGGGUGAGUAACACGUGGGUGAUCUGCCUUGCACUACGGGAUAAGCUUGGGAAACUGGGACGAAUACCGGAAUGUGCAAGAUGAGCUCGCGGCCUAUCAGCUUGUUGGUGGGGUAAUGGCAUCCCAAGGCGUCGACGGGUAGCCGGCCUGAGAGGGUGUACAGCGACAUUGGGACUGAGAGAGGGCCCAGACGCCUACGGGAGGCAGCAGUGGGGAGUAUUGCACAAUGGGCGGAAGCCUGAUGCAGCGACGCCGCGUGGGGGAGGAAGGCCUUCGGGUUGUAAACGCCUUUCGACAGGGACGCGGUACCUGUAUAAGAAGCACCGGCUAACUACGUGCCAGCAGCCGCGGUAAUAC